rnacentral:rRNA from 1 species
GAUCCUGGCUCAGAUUGAACGCUGGCGGCAUGCUUUACACAUGCAAGUCGAACGGUAACAGGGAGCUUGCUCCGCUGACGAGUGGCGAACGGGUGAGUAAUAUAUCGGGAAACGUACCCAGAAGUGGGGGAUAACGUAGCGAAAGUUACGCUAAUACCGCAUACGAUCCACGGAUGAAAGUAGGGGACCUUCGGGCCUUAUGGACUUUUGGUAGCGGCCGUAUAUCUGAUUAGCUAGUUGGUGAGGUAAAGGCU